GCCACCAUGUGGUUGCUGGGAAUUGAACUCAGGACCUCUGGAAGAGUAGUCAGGUGCUCUUAACCGCUGAGCCAUCUCUCCAGUCCACAUUCUCAUCUCUUUACCCAUCCCUGUUUAUCCUACCUCCAUCCAUAACAGCCUCUCAUUUUGGUUUUGCUUCGCUCUACAUUUAGUUAAAUAUGGCUGUCUGUGACUGUGAGUUUGGGACAUUCACAGGAGCCUGGCAGGAUUCAACUGGCAGGUACACAACUGAAAGCAGUGACUACCCCCCUCCCUUUUUCUAAAUCGAUCAUCAAAAUAGUUCUGCAGGAUGGGGCCCCCAAGCCCCUCCUCUAUUAACACCUAGCUACUGUCUGAACAACUUUGGUUCAACAAAUGUAGACUGUAAAGGUGACUGUGCUACAAGCUCAGUGAGUAGCUUCCUUUUGCCUUACACGGUGACUUCAUGAUAGCAAUCUCCGUACUUCAGGUGGGAGCACAUGGCCUCUGCUACGUAGAAUGUCUGGCCCCUUGUGAAUUCUAGCCCUUCCUAAGCUGGACUGAGCCAAAUGGGAAGGAGUCUAAUAGACGAUACAGUGGUUCUCAAUGAAUGGUAACCUUUGGGGUUAAACAACCCUUUCACAGAGGUUGUAUAUCAGACAUUUACAUUACAAUUCAUAAUAGCAAAAUUAGCUAUGUAGUAGCAAUGAAAAUAAUUUUAUGGUUGGGGGUCACAACAUUGGGAAGGUUGAGAACCACUGAGAUGGUAGAAAGGUUUAUGCUGUUGUAGUUAGGAGAAAUCUAAGGCCUGUUGGGAUCAGGUUUUUCCUGUGUUGCACAUACAAGCCAAGCAGAAAAUAGAAGAGUGAAAGGGAGGCUGGAUCCACAUGAUCCAAACUUAAACUGAUCAGAAAUGUAAGUAAAAGCAGUAUCAGGAAACUGAUUAACAUCUAUUUCCAAAAAUACUAUGGCUGGUUGGUUUUAGAGGCAGGAAGGCAAGGUGAGUAAAUAUCACUGAACCAGGAUAGGACCUGGCAGAAUAGCUCAGGGUGAAAAUGCUUUCUGUGGAAGACUGACCACCAGAAUUGGAUCCCUGCCUUGGUAGAAGAUGAGAACCAACUCCCAAAGGAUGUCUUCAGUGCCGGAAAGAUGGCUCAACAGCAAAAAUCACUUGCUGCUCCUGCAUAAACCUGGGUUUGGUUCCCAGCACCAACACUGCGCAGCUUGCAACUGGCUAACACCAGUUUCAGAGAAUCCAGCUUCUGGCCUCAAAAAGGCACUUGUGCUUAUAAUACACACAGAGAUAAGCAGGUAUACGGUAUACACAUAAGAUAGAUGUCCUCUGGGCUCCAUGGCAUGCAUGCACCUCUGUCCACACAUGACUAUCUGGGAUGGCAGUUGUUAUAAAGAGGAAGUGGCUCUUCCUGUUUGGCUGUGCGAUAAGGACAUAGAGCAAGACCCUGUUUAUCACGACGGUUUCACUACCGCAGUUGCCUUAGUGUUGUGCUUCAAAAUCUUAACUUUAAGAGGCAGAUAAGGGAUUGAAG
ensembl:lncRNA